AAAAAGAGUUACAGAUCCCAAUACUGACCUAAGGUGUUUAGACGAAGUCUAAUGACAGACCCAGCGUAACGUUAAUGUGAAGAAUGGAGCUACUUGUGCAUUACAAAGAAAAGAUCAUGGCAACCUCUUUAGAGAUCGGGACACAACUCCAGAACAAAACUCGGUUUCUGGAUUGAUUGUUUCCUGUGGGGCAUGACUGACUGAAGAGCUUUGCUAUAUCUGUUAAAGCUAGCAGCUAGAUUUCAUGUCUG